GACGAACGCUGGCGGCGUGCUUAACACAUGCAAGUCGAACGGCAAGGCCCUGCCUUUGUGGGGUGCUCGAGUGGCGAACGGGUGAGUAACACGUGGGUACCCUGCCCUUGACUUUGGGAUAACUUCCGGAAACUGGGGCUAUACCCGGUUCGGAGCUCCUGCUGCAUGGGGGGGGUUGGAAAGUUUCGGCGGUAGGGGAUGGACGGGCGGCUUAUCAGCUUGUGGGUGGGGUAGUGGUUUACCAGGGGUUUGACGGAUAGCCGGCCUGAGGAGGUGGCCAGCGACAUGGGGACUGAGGGACGGCCCAGACGCCUACGUUGGGCAGCAGGGGAAAAUAUGGCACAGUGGGCGGAAGUGUGAUGCGGCAACGUUGGGUGCGUGAAGACGUCCUGCGGGGUGUGAACCGCUUGCGCCUGAGACGAAGCGUGAGUGACGGUAAUGGAUAAAGAAGCACCGGCUAACUACGUG
rnacentral:rRNA from 1 species